AAGUUAGUGAUAAUUAUAAAAAUAAUUUUUCGUUCUGACUUGUUUAAUUUAAGCAUGAUAAACUUCUUAUUACAAUCAUAGAAUCUAAGUUAC
rfam:Theobroma cacao cultivar Matina 1-6 chromosome 4, whole genome shotgun sequence.